rnacentral:rRNA from 1 species
GAUGAACGCUGGCGGCGUGCCUAAUACAUGCAAGUCGAGCGAACAGACGAGGAGCUUGCUCCUCUGACGUUAGCGGCGGACGGGUGAGUAACACGUGGAUAACCUACCUAUAAGACUGGGAUAACUUCGGGAAACCGGAGCUAAUACCGGAUAAUAUAUUGAACCGCAUGGUUCAAUAGUGAAAGACGGUUUUGCUGUCACUUAUAGAUGGAUCCGCUCCGCAUUAACUAGUUGGUAAGGUAACGGCUUACCAAGGCAACGAUGCGUAGCCGACAUGAGAGGGUGAUCGGCCACACUGGAACUGAGACACGGGCCAGACUCCUACGGGAGGCAGCAGUAGGGAAUCUUCCGCAAAGGGCGAAAGCCUGACGGAGCAACGCCGCGUGAGUGAUGAAGGUCUUCGGAUCGUAAAACUCUGUUAUUAGGGAAGAACAAAUGUGUAAGUAACUAUGCACGUCUUGACGGUACCUAAUCAGAAAGCCACGGCUAACUACGUG